ACUUAAUGUUUGUAUAACUAAAACUUAAUUAAACUAAUUAAACUAGCAAAUAACACCUCUAAAAGGAAAUUUAAUGAAUAUUACCUAGUUAAAACAUUACCUAGUGGCUCACAACUCGUGUGGUUUUGAGACUUUUUAAGGAAAUAAAUGUCCUUAUAUCAGACCUCCUCCUGCUACUGCUUCUCCCUUCUGGCUCCUCCAUGGUUAUCAACCUGCCUGCGUGUGCAGAGCGCCACAGGAGAGGAGGAGACACUGUGCAGCUGCUGACGGAGAUCACAACACUGUGUGUGUGUGUGUGUGUGUGUGUGUGUGUGUGUGUGUGUGUGUGUGUGUGUGUGUGUGUGUGUAUGAUGUGGAUAAUUAUGUUCGCCACAAAAGAUUUGGUGAUUGUCUGAGCUCUUAAUUCAUAUUCAUAUUUUGGGAGUACAAAAAGACCCAGUGCUGAGGAAAAAGGACCAAACCCUGUUGGAGGCAUUGUUGCAUUUACCCAGGAGGAAGCUGCAGAGAACGGUUUCGCUCACAGCCGAGUCAGCUGAAUCCACAUUAAGUCUGUUCAUGCAAAUGGUCGAGUCGGUGGAGCAACACUAUGAGAACAUUUGGCAAAUCCAUCUGCUGCGCACAGUCUUUGCUGGUGGCAGUUGACAAAAUGAAGGUCAACCACAUACGGUCUCAUCCUGCGUAGGAUCAGGAGCUCCACUGGGCGCCGGAGAGACCGA